CGCACCUUGCGCCUUCUGGUUUACCAGUGGCAUGCCGGUUUGAGCGCCUUUUCAUGCUUGCACCUCUAGCUUUUGUUAGAGACUGCAGAUUUGAGUGUAUUGCCGGCUUGUUCGGCUCGCUCUGAAUGCAUGAGCGACUAGACAGCUCGAAGCAACGUGAUAAGUAUCUUCGUUGUAACGUGCUCGACAGACGCUUCUAAUCGUCUUCGGACAAUUUCUAAGGCUAGGCCUCAAAGUGGUAGGACUACCCGCUGAACUUAA
rnacentral:misc_RNA from 1 species